CAGUAGCCGCGUAAUACGAAGGGGGCUAGCGUUGUUCGGAUUUACUGGGCGUAAAGGGCGCGUAGGCGGGCGAAUAAGUCAGGGGUGAAAUCCCAAGGCUCAACCUUGGAACUGCCUUUGAUACUGUUUGUCUUGAGUUCGAGAGAGGUAAGUGGAACUGCGAGUGUAGAGGUGAAAUUCGUAGAUAUUCGCAAGAACACCAGUGGCGAAGGCGGCUUACUGGCUCGAAACUGACGCUGAGGCGCGAAAGCGUGGGGAGCAAACAGGAUUAGAUACCCGGGUAGUCCCUGUCUCUUAUACA
rnacentral:rRNA from 1 species